rnacentral:lncRNA from 1 species
GGAUUACCAAAAACCAAUUACAUUUAAAUACAAUUAUGCCAAUUUUUUUAACCAACAGAUUUCCAGAUUCUGAAUCAGGAACCCCUGGCUUUGAAUAGUCUGUGUUGGAGACCUUUUGGAUUAGAGUAUGGAAUGGGGAUGCCUAUGGAAUACAAGGUAGUGGGGAGCCAGUGAAGCUUCUUGAGCAAGAAAGUGCUAUGAUCAGAGAGACCUGGGCAUGAAAAGAUGUGGGGGCAGAGGGAAGGGGACUGGCUUUGGAGUCAGAAGGCCUGAGUUCAUGUAUGGGCUCUGAAGACCAUUAUUUAUGCAAGUUGCCUCACUCCUCUGAAUUCCAGUUGUCUGGUCUUCACUGCAUCAUCUACACUCCCUACUUCCUGGCACAGUGAUAGGGCUUGUUGCUCUCUGAAACAAGAACUGGGAGCCCUUGCCAGGCCUUCCCUCCUGCAGCCAUUCUGACUCCUUCUUGACGAGUUCCAGGGGCUUGGAGAGCCAGCAGCCAGUCACCAAGAGCACGUCUCUGCAGGGAGUGGGUGACCCACGCUAUCAGCCUAUCCUCCUGCCUACAGGCCUACUUGUAAUAUGAACUUCCCCUCCCUGACCUCAGUGCUGACAUUGACACUCCCUUCCCGAGAGCCAGAGAGCCACCCCAGGCCUGGCCUGCUACUGCUGAGACCUGGUCAGAACUCAUGGGACCUUCAGUAAGUCAGAGCCUAUCUGGACCUCAGUUUCCUUAUAUGUAAAAUGGAGGUAUUGGACAAGAUGGCUUCUAAAGCCGCUUCCAUGUGUAAAUCUCAUUGCUAGUCUUGAAACUCCUUUGAAAUGGCUGAUGAAAGGAAAGCAUUUCAGUCCCCUGGCAAAGGGCAACAUGGAGAAUUUUUGACAAAAAUGGAAACACUUUAGAUUUUGUGGCUACAGGCUUUGAGUGUGCCCACCAUUCGAGCCAACGUUUUGAGUCACUUUAUUUUGGAUAUUGUGAAACAAUGAGCUGGUAAGACAGCAAAGGAUGGCUAAUGCAGUGCUGAAGAAAGCAGAUGCAUGCAUUGUAGAGAGGCUACCUCCCA